rnacentral:rRNA from 1 species
UAUGUGAUCGUCUCUCGCAUAUCAAUAAGCGGAGGAAAAGUAAACUAACAAGGAUUCCCCUAGUAACGGCGAGUGAAGCGGGAAGAGCUCAAAUUUGAAAUCUUAAAGGGUUUCCCUUUACGAAUUGUAGUUUAAAGAAGUGUUUUCUGUUGAGGUUUUGGUAAAAGUUCUUUGGAAUAGGACAUCAUAGAGGGUGAGAAUCCCGUAUUUGACCUUUACUUUCAACUUUGUGAUACACUUUCAAAGAGUCGGAUUGUUUGGGAAUGCAGUCCAAAAUGGGUGGUAAAUUUCAUCUAAAGCUAAAUAUUGGCGAGAGACCGAUAGCGAACAAGUACCGUGAGGGAAAGAUGAAAAGAACUUUGAAAAGAGAGUUAAACAGUACGUGAAAUUGUCAAAAGGGAAGCGUUUGACACCAGUGUUGUUUUUCUGAAAAUCAAUUAAAGAACUGUUUAUGCUAAGUUGUUUAGACUUUAUCAGCUAACUGUUUAGUUUUGAGCUUUUCUUUAAUGCACUUUUCAGUUAACAAGUCAACAUCAAUUUCUUUUGCUGUAAAAAAGCUUGAGGAAGGUGGCUUGAGAUUCGUCUUAAGUGUUUAUAGCCUCUUGCCUAUGCAGUCGGAGAGAUUGAGGUCUGCAGCGUAGAUCCUUCGGGGCUAAAUGCAUUUGUGCUAAGUUAUAGCAUUUUAUAGACAACUUGUUCGACUAUGAUUUGUCUUGUAGCUUACUCGCUUAUGUUAUUUUACCUACGCUUAGGAUGUUGAGUAGCGACAUACGCAC